rnacentral:rRNA from 1 species
UACAGAGGGUGCGAGCGUUAAUCGGAAUUACUGGGCGUAAAGCGUGCGCAGAUGGUUACGUAAGUCGGGUGUGAAAGCCCCGGGCUCAACCUGGGAAUGGCAAUGGAUACUGGCAGGCUAGAGUGCGGUAGAGGGUAGUGGAAUUCCCGGUGUAGCGGUGAAAUGCGUAGAGAUCGGGAGGAACACCAGUGGCGAAGGCGGCUACCUGGACCAGCACUGACACUGAGGCACGAAAGCGUGGGGAGCAAACAGG